AGGAGGAAUGGAUGAAUACUAAUAACAUCCGACGUUUAUAGCACGUUCAGAGUUUAUAAAGCCUUUUUCCAUUGACUCCUCACAGCAGUUCCCAGAUGAAGUGACUUGACCUGGCUCAUCUGUGACCAAGCGAUGAAGCUAAGAUAUAAACAUGAGUCUUCUGAAUCCAGCCUUCAGUUUUAACUGUGCACUAGACAGGACUACCAUGUGCUCUGGAGGAAAAGCCCAGGGAGUGAAGAGGGCAUAUUCCAGGCACGGUUUAGCUUGGCAGACACGGAUCCCACUUCGGAAAGUAACCCCUCUACUGAGAGGCUGGGGAGCUAAUGAAAAGCAGCCAGCCAAUGGAAACAUGGCAUGUGCUAACAUCUUCUGAAAUUUAAUGUGGAUCACAGGAGCCCUCCCCUGUCAGCCUCUGGCACAGUAACUCCAUCUCACAGCGAAUUUCCCAGAAGACCCAGUCUGUGACACUCCCGCCCCCCAACCCCCCCGCAAAUCAAGACGCCUCUCUGUUUCAGAUACUGAGACUCACAAAUAGUGACCCUUCGUCAUUACAGGCAAAAACAGACUGUCUCCUGGAAAAGACAAUUGGCUUCAUGAGGGCCAAGCGGUCAUUCACUUCUGAACUCGCAAAAUCAAUGGCACGCCAUUAAGGAGAAAAUACGAAGGAUCUCCAAGAAGCUCUGAAGAAAGGGGAUGUCAUCACUGGGACUUUGGGAAUUUAGUGCCAUGCUCAAGUAACAUAGCCGCUUUUAAGUGGGACCUCCUGAAGCUAGUUCAUACCCCUUUGUGAGGAUGAUGGGAAGGCUGUGGUCUUCUCUGUACCGUGACUUCCCAAAAUAACGAAGGUUAAUGGAGUCUAGCUUUCAGGAAGACUCGGGUAGGGAGAGGUCAAGGGGAGCGCUCACAGACGGCUGGGCAUAUUUCUGUGUUGUUUCAAUACAUCAGGAGCAAGAAUUAAGUUACUCGUCCAACACAAAUGAACAAAAUAUGUAAAGACUGUAAAAUAAAACUCAUGCUUUCUUAACGUCUUUGCAGCUGGAGGACACAGGAAUCACCCUACUGACAGCAUGUCUGGUGAUCUCUAACCCAAGCCCUGCUGCCUGCUGCUGCUCUCUUCAAAAACAAAUCUACGCAGGUCUUUGAACCGUCUUAGAUGCCGCUUCAAGAUACUUUUGGCUGAUUACGUAAUGACCAAACUCCUCACUGCAAUACUGAACAUCUUUCACAAUCAAACCAAAAGUAAACACUCCGGGCUCCAUUCUAAUUCUUGGGACAUUUUCCCUCCUCCCUGCCCCCACCUUUUAGAAUCACUUUCUGUUCCUUAGAGAAGCUGGGCCCUUCCCAGCUCUUUGUUUUUGCAUUUGCUGAUUCUCCUUUCCCUUUUCCUCAGUUCCACCCCAGCUUCAAAGUCACCUGUCUGUCAACCUCUGAGUCUCCCCAACUCCAGCCAUAAUUCAUUGCUUCCACCUUUGCUGUCACGCAGCACGUUGUCCGAUCACUGCUCUGACUUGUCUUUUUUUUACAAUAGGAAUUUUAAAUUACAUUAGGAAUAUAAGCUUAUGUGCUGAUGUUGUAAGAUAUAAAAGUACACAGAGUAGCAAAUAUGAAUCCCUUCCCCCAUGUUUUGAUUCAGAAGUUCGUUGGUGGGGGUCGGAGAGGUACACAGGUGGCCAUUACUUUAUUCUGCGUGCCAUUUAGUAUCUGAAUAUUUCUUUAAAAGUUUUUUAAAUUUAUUUUUGAGAGAGAGAGAGAGAGAGCACGCAAGCACGAGCCGGACAGGGGAAUAGAGAGAGGGGAACAGAGGAUUCCAAGUGGGCUCCUGGCUGACAGCAGAGAGCCUGAUGUGGGGCUCAAAGUGAGAUCAUGACCGGAGCUGAGGUUGGAGACUUAACCGACUGAGCCCCAUAGGUGCCCCUAAUAUCUGAAUAUUUCAUUAAAAAGUGACAGUCUUUCCUUGUCUUUGGCACUCAUCAUCUGCCAGAAGUACUUUUAACAGUUCAUGGUGUACCGGUCUUUCUAGACUUUUGCUGCUUUCAAACAGGUAAAUCAUCACGUUUACCAGGGCAAUGAUGGUUUAUUCAAAUAGAAUCAUACUGUUCCUGUUGUUCUACAAUUUUUUCAUUAAUAGACUCUUUCAUAGAGUGGUUUCAGGUUGCAAGGAAAUUGAGCAGAUAGUACAGAGAGUUCCCAUUUACUUCCCCUCCCUACCAUGGCUUCCCCUAUUAUUAUCAUCUUGUGUGGUUCGUACGGUAAAAUUGAGGAGCGGUUACUGAUAUGUUACUAACUGGCGUCCAUGGUUUCCAUUAGGUUUCGCCCUCCCUGUUGGGUUCUCUGGGUUUGCCAGAUACAUAAUGUCACAUAUCCACCAUUACAUAGCAUACAGAAUAGUUUCACCCUCCCUAAGGACCCACCGUGCUCUACCCAUUCAUCCCUUCCCACCCCACCCCUACCCACCUCAGCCACUGGCAACCGCCGAUCUUCUCUCUGUAUUUGCACUUUUACCUUUUCCAGAAUGUCAAAAGGUUGGAAUCACACAGCACAUUUUCUUUUCAGACUGCCUCCUGUCACUGGGCGAUAUACAUUUUAGGCUUUUCUGUGUCUUUUUGAAGCUAUAGUUUACCUUUCUAAUCGACAUGUUCCCCCCAUAUCCUUACAUGCUCAUGUACCUUUUUCUCUUCAACAGCUACCUACGUAUCUCUUGGUACGAUUGUAAAAACUUCCUUAUCUUUUUCCUUCUCAAGGGACAUGUGGGUUUCUCAAGUUUUUUAAUUGCAUAUUUACAUAUCUUUGACUCCCCAUAAACUUUGUACUCCAUAACCAAUAAAACAUGGUGUUCAAUAAA